AUCCAAAAAUAUUUUUGUUAUCCUAAUUUAUAAAUCACAAUCCCAAAUCUACAAUAUUUCUUAAGAAAAUGAAAACUUUCCAAAAAUACCAGUUUUUAAGAAAAUUAUUUAAAAAUACAAAAUUUUAAUAAAAAAAUCUUAAAGAAUACUCAUUUAUCCACAAAUAUUCUUGUUAUCCUAUGUUAUAUAUCAGAAUCCCAAAUCUACAAUAUUUCUCAAGAAAAUGAAAACUUUUCAAAAAUAGCAGUUUUCAAAAAAAUUAUUUAAAAAUACAAAAUAUUGAUAAAAAAUUCUUAAAGAAUACUCAUCUAUCCCCAAGUAUUCUUGUUAUCCUAAUUUAUAAAUCACAAACUCAAAUCUACAAUAUUUCCCAGAAAAUUAAAACCUUCCAAAAAUAACAGUUUUUAAGAAAAUUAUUUAAAAAUACAACCUAUUGAUGAACAUUUCUUAAAGAAUACUAAUCUAUCCACAAAUAUUCUUGUUAUCCUAAUUUAUAAAUCACAAUCUCAAAUCUACAAUAUUUUUCAGGUAAAUGAAAACUUUCCAAAAAUAGCAGGUUUUAAGAAAAUUAUUUAAAAAUACAACAUAUUGAUGAAAAAAUCUUAAAGAAUACUCAUCUAUCCACAAAUAUUUUUGUUAUCCUAAUUUAUAAAUCACAAACCCAAAUCUACAAUAUUUCUCAAGAAAAUGAAAACUUUCCAAAAAUGACAGUUUUUAAGAAAAUUAUUUAAAAAUACAAAAUAUUGAUGAAAAAUUCUUAAAGAAUACUCAUCUAUUCACAAAUAUUCUUGUUAUCCUAAUUUAUAAAUCACAAUCUCAAAUCUACAAUAUUUCUCAAGAAAAUGAAAACUUUCCAAAAAUAACAAUUUUUAAGAAAAUUAUUUAACAAUACAACAUAUUGAUGAAAAAUUCUUAAAGAAUACUCAUCUAUCCACAAGUAUUCUUGUUAUCCUAAUUUAUAAAUUAUAAACCCAAAUCUACAAUAUUUCUCACAAAAAUGAAAACUUCCAAAAAAUAGCACUUUUUGAGAAAGUUAUUUAAAAAUACAACAUAUUGAUGAAAAAAUCGUAAAUAAUACUCAUCUAUCCACAAAUAAUCUUGUUAUCCUAAUUUAUAUAUCACAAUCCCAAAUCUACAAUAUUUCUCAAGAAAAUGAAAACUUUCCAAAAAUAGCAAUUUCUAAGAAAAUUAUUUAAAAAUACAACCUAUUGGUGAAAAAUUCUUAAAGAAUACUCAUCUAUCCACAAGUAUUCUUGUUAUACUAAUUUGUAAAUCACAAACCCAAAUCUACAAUAUUUCUCAAGAAAAUGAAAACUUUCCCAAAAUAGCAGUUUUUAAGAAAAUUAUUUAGAAAUACAACCUAUAGAUGAAAAGUUUUUAAACAAUACUCAUCUAUCCACAAAUAUUCAUGGUAUCCUAAUUUAAAAAUCACAAUCCCAAAUCUACAAUAUUUCUCAAGAAAAUGAAAACUUUCCCAAAAUAGCAGUUUUUAAGAAAAUUAUUUAAAAAUACAACCUAUUGAUGAAAAAUUCUUACAAAAUACUCAUCUAUCCACAAAUAUUCUUGGUAUCCUAAUUUCUUACACACAAACCCAAAUCUACAAUAUUUCUCAAGAAAAUGAAAACUUUUCAAAAAUAACAGUUUUUAAGAAAAUUAUUUAAAAAUACAACCUAUUGAUGAAAAAUUCUUAAAAAUACUCAUCUA
rnacentral:lncRNA from 1 species